rnacentral:rRNA from 1 species
GAUGAACGCUGGCGGCGUGCCUAAUACAUGCAAGUCGAGCGAACAGACGAGGAGCUUGCUCCUCUGACGUUAGCGGCGGACGGGUGAGUAACACGUGGAUAACCUACCUAUAAGACUGGGAUAACUUCGGGAAACCGGAGCUAAUACCGGAUAAUAUAUUGAACCGCAUGGUUCAAUAGUGAAGGACGGUUUUGCUGUCACUUAUAGAUGGAUCCGCGCCGCAUUAGCUAGUUGGUAAGGUAACGGCUUACCAAGGCAACGAUGCGUAGCCGACCUGAGAGGGUGAUCGGCCACACUGGAACUGAGACACGGUUCAGACUCCUACGGGAGGCAGCAGUAGGGAAUCUUCCGCAAUGGGCGAAAGCCUGACGGAGCAACGCCGCGUGAGUGAUGAAGGUCUUCGGAUCGUAAAACUCUGUUAUUAGGGAAGAACAAAUGUGUAAGUAACUAUGCACGUCUUGACGGUACCUAAUCAAAAAGCCACGGCUAACUACGUG